CGACUGUGGAUGAGACAGAGCUCGUUAUAGGGUCAAGCGAACAAGUGCAUGUGGUGGAUGCCUUGGCGAUCACAGGCGCAUGAAGGACGCGGUAGCCUGCGAAAAGCUACGGGGAGCUGGCAAACGAGCUUUGAUCCGUAGAUGUCCGAAUGGGGAAACCCCG
rnacentral:rRNA from 1 species